rnacentral:rRNA from 1 species
UACAGAGGGGGCAAGCGUUGUUCGGAAUUACUGGGCGUAAAGGGCGCGUAGGCGGCCUGCUAAGUCGAACGUGAAAUCCCUGGGCUCAACCCAGGAACUGCGUCCGAUACUGGUUGGCUUGAAUCCGGGAGAGGGAUGUGGAAUUCCAGGUGUAGCGGUGAAAUGCGUAGAUAUCGGAAGGAACAUCAGUGGCGAAGGCGACUUCCUGGACCAAUACUGACACUCAAGUGCGAAAGCGUGGGGAGCAAACAGG